CCUGGAAUUGGUCCCGCGUACCGGUUCGAACAGAAACAGCGAAAGCGCGAGCGAGGUCGGGAGCCGGGAGGAGACGAGACGGCGAGACCCGCCCGCAGCGAGGCAGCGAUUCACGCCGGCGGCGGCGGCGGCGACGCAGGACUAGGAGAACACUGGCUCCAAGUUGCCGAAGAUUUCUCGAAACCAAUCUGAGCAACUAGUCAAUUACUACUACAAAGUAGCUGUCAAUUACUACAAAGUAAUGUAUGUGAAGGAUGAUCCGCAGGAUGCUCCUAGCAAGAAAAGAAAUAUCAUAGCUGAUAUAUCUGCUAAAGAAAUACGUGAGUUUCCUCCAUGCUGUUAUCUGGUGAUUCAAUCACUAUUGUUUUUAUUGAAUUUAUUGGCACAGUAGAUUUUGUUUUACUAACUUUAAUAUACUUUCCACCAUUUAUCGCAAAUGGAUUUUUUUAACCCCACUGCUACUCUAUGAUUACUCAUAAGUAAAUUUAUUUACUACUUGUGGUCUUGUCCCCAAUUGGUCUAGAAAUCUAAGCAAAAUUAGUUCAGCACCACCGCUCAAUUUGGGUGAGGUGGCCAGCAAGGUCUUCAGGAGGUGCGAUGUAAAUACAGGGUCAAGUGGUCAACUGAGGCCUUGAUGUCGAAUUCGGCGGGCACUUUGGCCUUGUUGGUGCUUGAGGUUUGAUCCAGGUGGUGGUUUGCAUGUUCUCGAAUUCAUUGCCAUGUCAUAACCCAUUUCAGCAAUAUCUGUUAGUGAACAAGGCAACCAGUUGUGCAAAGGAUGCGAGUUUAGGGCACCGAGAAAGUUAUUUGCAUGUUCUGGACUAAGACAAGUGCAUAAGUGUAUGGACAACACAAUUUAUUCCACAGUUUAAUAGAUACUGCCAGGAGUUGUCUUGCACCAAGAUUUCUUUUACUGUUUAUCUCUGUACUUUAAAUCCAUAUUUGAACUUUUAUCAUAUUUUAAUUUUAGUUCAUGAUUUCUAUUUGGCAGUUAAAACCAAUUCUACUACUGGGGUAAGAGAAACUUUGCAGUAAGUAUUUUCUUACAUCCUAAAUGUAUAAUAGCAAUGUGCUGACUUGUAGUGCUACUCACUACUCAGUUCCAUGAGCUGGAUUAUGGUCUUGAGGAAGUGCUUGAAUAUUUGAAGCACUCUUAUGGUAAUCGUCCUAUCUAUAUCCAUGAAAAUGGCAAGUAUUGUGCCAUUAUUUUUAUUUAUUUUAGAAAAAGGCUUUCGCCCAGCUUUAUGGAAAGCAAAUAUGUCUGCUGGGUUUACCAGCUACAAGGAUAGCAUCCACCAUCUCAGCCAAGUACAGGUAAGCAACAAAGGCCAGAACAAGCCAACAUGAAAAAUCCACAGAUAAGCAACAAAGGCCAACAUCACCGGUGAAUAUCCUAACAGAGUCACAGGAGGCACAGCUUGAUAUACCUUUUAAUGCAUUAUACUGAUAUGAUGUCCAUACAAUGUAGGAUUGUGUGUUUUAGCCAAUAUUAUGAGCUUUCCAUAAGCUUUUCCAUGGUGCUACAGGAACAUGUGCAUAUUUUGUCUAAAUAUCCAGGCUCAGACUUAUCAGUGCCAAAUAUUUCGUUUUCGAUAAACACUUCGGCAUGACUUGAAAUUUUGUACAAAUCUAGGAUAUCCAAUGCGUUAAGAUGUGGUAUUUGAUGAUGGCCCUAGGGUGGAGUUCUUAAGUGAACACCUUAGAAGACUACUUGCUGCUAUCAGGAAUGGUUCAAACACCAGGGGCUGUUUCGUGUGGUCACUGAUGGACAUGUAUGAACUACUCAGCGUCCGGCACUCUUUUACGUGGACUUCGCUGACAAGGAUCUGAAGAGGUAUCCAAGGAGCUCUGCGAUCUGGUACGCAGAUUUUCUGAAAGGCACAAGAGACUCAAGGCACACGGAGAGAUUUUCAAAUCACUAGCUGUGGAUGUGUGGUGUUUUAGACUACAUUGGCAGUGUUGUUAUGAGACAUAAUUUAAGGCCUCUUUUGGAAUGUGGGGUUUUGUUUUCUCCGAUUCCUUGGGGAGUUGAGCUGAUUCUUGUGAAUUUCGUUUACCAAAUUCCUCUGCUCUUUCAGGUUUUAUUGUCUUUAGACCACAAUGUACCUAGUAUGGUGGCCGUGUUAUCGAUGCUUACAGAAAUGUACACCCUGCAAUACUUUGAGUUC